CGUGCGUACUAUAAGCGGAACAAAGGGGCCGUGCCUAUCAAUAAGCUGUGAACAAUCCGCGUCUCCGUGUUUUUAUUUGAAGGAAGCAGGCUACGCGCGGCAACGGCCCAAGUCCAUUGGAACAUGGCGCCAGGGAGGGUGAGAGCCCCGUCCGGCCACGCGCCGCGUCCGCAGUCUGCCCCCGACGAGUCGAGUUGUUUGGGAAUGCAGCUCAAAGUGGGUGGUAAAUUCCAUCUAAAGCUAAAUAUUGGCGAGAGACCGAUAGCGAACAAGUACAGUGAUGGAAAGAUGAAAAGCACUUUGAAAAGAGAGUGAAACAGUACGUGAAAUUGUUGAAAGGGAAGGGCUUGCAAGCAGACACGGCUUUUGCCGGGCCAGCAUCGGUUUGGGGAGGCGGACAACCGCGGGAGCAUGUGGCGCACCUCGGUGCGUGUUAUAGCUCCCGUCCAUACGCCUUCCCCAGUCCGAGGCCUGCGUUCUAAACUAGGAUGCUGGCGUAAUGGUUGCAAGCC
rnacentral:rRNA from 1 species